rnacentral:rRNA from 1 species
AUAAUUUAAAAAGAUUUUUUUUUUUUUUUUUUUAUUAUUAAAAUGUUUAAUUUGUUUUUUUUUAUUUUUUAAGAAAUUUUUUUUUUUUUAUUUAAAGUACUGUAAAGGAAUUUAUUUAUUUAAUUUAAAGUAGAUUUUUUUAUUGUACCUUUUGUAUCAGGGUUAAUUAAUUUUUUCUUUAUAUUUAGUUUUCUCGAAUAUUUAAGUUCUAAGGUUAAAUGAUUUUCAUUGUUUAAUUAUUGUUAAAAAUUUAAUUUUUGUUUUGAUAUAAAAUUCGUUUAUUUUUAUAUCUAGUUUCUUUGAAGUUUAAUUUAAUUAUGGAAAUUUUAUAUAAUUUUUUUAUUUUUAUUUUUUUUAUUUUUUCUAAUUUAAUUAGGGAUAAGCUUAAUUAAGAUUUAUAUAAUUUUGUAAAAACUUUUUUUUGUAGGCUUAUAAUCUGUAAUCAUUAAAAGUUCGUUUAAGAUUUAAUUUUUUAUAUCUAUAUAUUUAUAUUUAUACUUAGAUUUUUUGAAAAAUUUUUUUUUAAUAAAAUUAUGAUUGAAUUAGUAAGAUAUAAAAUUUUUUUACAUGAACUCGGCAAUUUAAUCUUUUCGCCUGUUUAUCAAAAACAUGUUCUUUAGUUUUUUUUAAAGGUUUAACCUGCUCUAUGAUUAAAAUUUAAUGGCCGCAGUAUUUUAACUGUGCUAAGGUAGCAUAAUAAUUAGUCUCUUAAUUAGGGUCUUGAAUGAAUGGUUGAACGAAAUGGAAACUUUAUUUAAAAUAAUUUUUUAAUUUAAUUUUUUUGUUAAAAAGCUUAAAUUUUUAAGUGGGACGAUAAGACCCUGUAGAUCUUAAUAAAUUUUUUAUUUUUAAUUUUUGGUGGUUUUAAAUUAAUUUUUAUUUAUUUUAUUUUGUUGGGGUGAUAAAAUAAAAUUUUAACUUUUUUUUUUUAUUACACUUAUUUGUGUAUUUUUUGAUCUUUAAAUUUUUGAUUAUAAGAAAAAGAUACCUCAGGGAUAACAGCGUUAUAUAUUUGGAGAGUUCUUAUUAAUAAAUAUGUUUGCGACCUCGAUGUUGGAUUAAAAUUAAGUUGUGGAGCAGAAGAUACAAUUUUAGGUCUGUUCGACCUUUAAAAUUUUACAUGAUCUGAGUUCAGACCGGUGUGAGCCAGGUUGGUUUCUAUCUAUUUAAUAGUUUAAUUAAUUAGUACGAGAGGACUUUUAUUUAAUAAAAUUUAUU